rnacentral:rRNA from 1 species
CGGGUGGCAGCAGUGGGGAAUAUUGGACAAUGGGGGCAACCCUGAUCCAGCAAUGCCGCGUGUGUGAAGAAGGCCUGAGGGUUGUAAAGCACUUUCAGUGGGGAGGAAAGGUUGUAGGUUAAGAGCUAGCGACUGUGACGUUACCCACAGAAGAAGCACCGGCUAACUCCGUGCCAGCAGCCGCGGUAAUACGGAGGGUGCAAGCGUUAAUCGGAAUUACUGGGCGUAAAGGGUGCGUAGGUGGUUUAUUAAGUUAUCUGUAAAAUCCCUGGGCUUAACCUGGGCAGGUCAGAUAAGACUGGUAGACUAGAGUAUGGGAGAGGGUAGUGGAAUUUCCGGUGUAGCGGUGAAAUGCGUAGAGAUCGGAAGGAACACCAGUGGCGAAGGCGGCUACCUGGCCUAAUACUGACACUGAGGCACGAAAGCGUGGGGAGCAAACAGGAUUAGAUACCCGUGU